rnacentral:tRNA from 1 species
UGGCGAGUAGCUCAAUGGUAGAGCAAGUUUUCCUUGUUCAUUCCUUGCCUUAUGGGCCGAAGAAUGAGGAUUAUCGUUUUGGAUACGACCAUUCGGGGGUUCGAUUCCCUCCUCGCCAC